rnacentral:misc_RNA from 1 species
GUUCGCUGUAACCUUCUGUCGCAGAUCCUGAUCUCACAAUAAUAUCAUUAACUGGACUUGCUGGAACUGACAGUGACACACUGUCUGUAUUAAGUCUGUCUGACUUACUUUCUCUUGUAAAAAUGAGAUUCCCUUUGCAUACAAAACAGAUGCAACAGAAUGUGGGUGCUUGUAACCGUACAUAGAUAGCUUUCUUAGACCUAAGGUCAGACAUUUUCUUUGAGUAGCACUUGUUUGCCGCAGCUCCCAUAACAAGCUUCCCUAUACCAUGUUGCGAUAUAAGCUCAACUAUGCCCUUCUCAAUCGAGUCCAUUUCAAGGACAAGUUUAUCAGCACAAACCCCAGCUCGUCCACAGAUCAGAAUAUAUUUUUCCAGGAUCAUGUGCAUGUCUUGCUUUUCCUUCUCAUGGUACGCCCUGACUUGGUGCACAUCCAAUUGAUCUAUGUUAAACUUUGUACCCAUCAUGGGUAUCUUCUGAGCAGGAGUAUGAACAUGAACAAUGCAAAUUUUCCUUCCACCGGACUUGUGCAAAGCCCAUGUCAAAGUCGGUUCAGUCUCCUUCAAGUCUUUCCCGACAGCAACAUACAUCACAUCGUCGACCACCACCGGCGUUGCUGGACUUCCUUUUUGCACGAUUUGCUCACUCAAACUCAGACGGGACAAAUCAACUUCCGGGUACCUUACCGGACUCCGCCGGACUACGGAUGAUGGA